UUUUUAUCCCCUUCACUGGGAGCUGGUUUGGGAACUGCAACCGGGAAGUAUAGGAAGAGGGGAGGCCAAGAUGGUGGGGUAGGAAGACUCUGAGCUCGCCUGCUCCCACGGGAACACCCAAAUCACAACUAUUUACAGAGCAACUAUGGAUAAGAAUGACCUGAAGACUAGCAGAAAAGAUCUACAACUAAAGAUAUAAAGAAGGAGCCACAAUAAGAUGGUAGGAGGAGUAAAGGCACAAUGUAGUCAAGACUCACACCCCCAGUCUUGGGAGAUUUGGAGCAAUUCCUAUGAAAAUCCAGCUGAAGUAAUUGGCGGAUGAGAAACAGUGACAAGGGCUGCCUUAGCUGGGCUCAAAUCCUGAACCAUAUUCAGGAAAAAGUUCUGUUAUCUACAGGAGGGAAAAAAAUGACUGCCCAUCCAUUUAACCUCUAUAUUACUCUGCCUCAUGUGUGUUCUGUAAGAUCUGUAAAAAGAAUGGUGUCCAGCUUGCAUCUCUGGAGUAAAACUACUUACUGUGGACAUACCCAGUGCACAAAUUACACAGGGAACUAUAGUCAAUAUCUUGAAAUAACGUAUAAUGGAAAAGAAGCUGAAAAAGAAUACAUAUGUUCACUUUGUUGUACAUUUGAAACUAACACAAUUUUGUAAGUUAACUACACUUCAAUAAAAAAAAAAUUUUUUUAAAGGGAGCCCUACCUAUGCUCAUCUAUGCUGGAUGAUUAUGGUCCCCAAUAUGUGAAAUAUUUUAAAGUUUGGUAUAGAUAAACAGAAAUAAUCUCAAACUGUAGUUUUCCUUCGAUAGAUCUUGAAACAUCUAAGGAAAAUCAUGGAAUGGAAUCAUGCCUUUUUUGCCUAUAUGGAUUGAUGGUGUGUGUGUGUGUGUGUGUGUGUGUAGUUGGGGGAGAUGAAACUUACUACCAAAUACCCAAGAUCUCAUUGAGGACCUCAAGGAAAAAAUCUCAGUGGACACCUCCUCAAGUAAUUGUAAAAUCCUUCUGGAAAAUGGC